rnacentral:rRNA from 1 species
UCCGGUGGUAUUGGCAGAAAGGUCACACCUGUUCCCAUGCCGAACACAGAAGUUAAGCUUUCUAGCGCCGAUGGUAGUUGGGGUUCUUCCCCUGUGAGAGUAGGACGCUGCCGGGC